rnacentral:rRNA from 1 species
UACGUAGGGUGCGAGCGUUGUCCGGAAUUAUUGGGCGUAAAGGGCUCGUAGGCGGUCUGUCGCGUCGGGAGUGAAAACUCAGGGCUUAACCCUGAGCCUGCUUCCGAUACGGGCAGACUAGAGGUAUGCAGGGGGAGAACGGAAUUCCUGGUGUAGCGGUGAAAUGCGCAGAUAUCAGGAGGAACACCGGUGGCGAAGGCGGUUCUCUGGGCAUUACCUGACGCUGAGGAGCGAAAGUGUGGGGAGCGAACAGG